GACGUAGGAGGCGAGCGUUGUCCGGAUUCAUUGGGCGUAAAGAGCACGCAGGCGGUUUGGCAAGUCGGAUGUGAAAACCCGAAGCUCAACUUCGGGCCUGCAUCCGAAACUGCCCGACUAGAGGUAGGUAGGGGAGAUCGGAAUUCCUGGUGUAGCGGUGAAAUGCGCAGGAAUAUCAGGAGGAACACCGGUGGCGAAGGG
rnacentral:rRNA from 1 species